UAAAGAUUAUGAGAAUUCUUUUAGUGGACACUCUUGUGUCAGAAAGAUGCAGUCAUCUUUUGCUGACAGAUUAAGAAGAUGUAGUCAUCUUUGCUUAAUCAGUUGAAGCUAAAAGUUGUAUCAUAAUUAUUACUCAGCAACUUAUGUAUAUCUAAACAAAAAGUACAAUAAAUUCUGUACUUUUAUCACAAGCUACUAUUCUAGACAUGAAAAAUAUAUAUUGUUGUUGUACAGUAUAAAGAUUAUGAGAAUUCUUUUAGUGGACAUCACUCUUGUGUCAGAAAGAUGCAGUCAUCGUUUGCUGACAGAUUAACCCAUUGAAUCGCAUUGCACCCUGAUGUGCCAUACUUUAUUAUUUUACUCUGUCUAAUGCCAAAUGAUUUUACUCGCCAAGGGGAGAGCAUUGGUGCUUUAAUGGGUUAUAGAUGUACAGUAGUCAUCUUUGCUUAAUCAGUUGAAAGCAAUAUUUAUUACACAGCAACUUAUAUCUUACUGAAAACAAUAUUUAUGUAAAAAGGAUAAUUUUAGA